rnacentral:rRNA from 1 species
AACAGGAUUAGAUACCCUGGUAGUCCACGCCGUAAACGAUGUCGACUUGGAGGUUGUGCCCUUGAGGCGUGGCUUCCGGAGCUAACGCGUUAAGUCGACCGCCUGGGGAGUACGGCCGCAAGGUUAAAACUCAAAUGAAUUGACGGGGGCCCGCGCAAGCGGUGGAGCAUGUGGUUUAAUUCGAUGCAACGCGAAGAACCUUACCUGGUCUUGACAUCCACGGAAGUUUUCAGAGAUGAGAAUGUGCCUUCGGGAACCGUGAGACAGGUGCUGCAUGGCUGUCGUCAGCUCGUGUUGUGAAAUGUUGGGUUAAGUCCCGCAACGAGCGCAACCCUUAUCCUUUGUUGCCAGCGGUCCGGCCGGGAACUCAAAGGAGACUGCCAAUGAUAAACUGGAGGAAGGUGGGGAUGACGUCAAGUCAUCAUGGCCCUUACGACCAGGGCUACACGCGUGCUACAAUGGCGCAUACAAAGAGAAGCGACCUCGCGAGAGCAAGCGGACCUCAUAAAGUGCGUCGUAGUCCGGAUUGGAGUCUGCAACUCGACUCCAUGAUGUCGGAAUCGCUAGUAAUCGUGGAUCAGAAUGUCACGGUGAAUACGUUCCCGGGCCUUGUACACACCGCCCGUCACACCAUGGGAGUGGGUUGCAAAAGAAGUAGGUAGCUUAACCUUCGGGAGGGCGCUUACCACUUUGUGAUUCAUGACUGGGGUGAAGUCGUAACAAGGUAACC